UAUGUAGAGGCGCGGACGCGAUAAGUAUCCAGUGUGAUGCCGCUGUGGCAGAUGAAGACUGGAGAAAGGUAAAUCCGCCGAAGUGGGCAAGUACACAGAUCCUUGUCUGCUGGUUCUGGGGAGAAAAUCUUUAGGACUGUCAUCAACGGGAAAAAGCACCCAACGAUGGAGAGCUACGGAA
rnacentral:ncRNA from 1 species